rnacentral:tRNA from 1 species
UGUUCUGUGGCAUAGUUGGUUAAUGCGCCAGACUAGCGAUACGAAGUCGUGGGUUUGAGUCCUACCAGAACAA